AGUAACGGCGAGUGAAGCGGGAAAAGCUCAAAUUUAAAAUCUGGCGGUCCCUGUGGCCGUCCGAGUUGUAAUUUAGAGAAGUGUUAUCCGUGCUGGACCGUGUACAAGUCUCCUGGAAUGGAGCGUCAUAGAGGGUGAGAAUCCCGUCUUUGACACGGACUGCCAGUGCAUUGUGAUGCGCUCUCAAAGAGUCGAGUUGUUUGGG
rnacentral:rRNA from 1 species